GUCAGUUCUCUCGGGGCUGCCCUUAGAAAUUGACCAAGGAUGGUCAUUCCACACCUGUGCUUGUGGAAGUGGCAAUGAUGCUUAAGUUGAUGAAUGCUCCACAAUGUUCAAACAUCAUCGGAUUACACGACUGGGUCAAGAAUGAGAACAACUUCAUUCUCAGUCUGGAGUACGCAGAUUCAUGCCAGACCUUGGAACAGUACAUCAAAGAUACAUUGGACAUUAGUGAAAACCGAGCACGCCAGUUAAUGCGUCAGUUGAUACAAGCUGUUAAGUUCUGCACUGAGCGUGGAGUUUUCCAUGGAGAUAUCCACACGGAGAACAUCCUGGUGACUCAACCCCGAUUACAGCUCAAAUUGAUCGACUUUGGUUGUGCUCAGCCCACAAUAGCGAUCAAUAUCUAGGAGUUAUUUUCUGCACGCCACCUGAGGUUUUCAGGGAUCCCACAUUCUAUGCUGACCCGCUAAACGUCUGGACAAUUGGCAUCGUGCUGUAUGAAAUCUUGCAUGCAGAAUUGCCCUUUCGUGACGAAGAUUCAGUAAUGUUUGAAUCCGCUGAGAUACACCCCAGGUUAUCUACAGCAUGCCAGGACCUGAUUUCCCAGUGUUUCAUCUGCUGUCCACUUUAGCGGCUGCAGUUACAUCAGUUAGAAAAGCAACAGUGGUUCAAUCUAACGACCCCAAAUCUUAUGGAGCUGUUAGACGCCAGGAUGUAGAGGAACACACCUAGCACAAAAAAAACACUAAAGAAGCGAGAAAGAGGAGGAGCAGCAUUUCCAGAAAUUUCACAAGCCUGUUAAAGUUAUUAAUUACUGCCUCACGUUAAUCCAAACCUCUAAAGGCUGAUUUAUACUUCUGCGUCAAACACCGGCGUAUG